GCUUCCUUGGCUCAGUUGGUAGAGCGUUGGUCUCAUAUUUUCUAUGAGUAAUAUCAUUUACGUAAUCCAAAGGUCGUGAGUUCGAGCCUCACAGGGAGCA